rnacentral:rRNA from 1 species
UACGUAGGGCGCAAGCGUUAUCCGGAAUUAUUGGGCGUAAAGAGCUCGUAGGCGGUUUGUCGCGUCUGCCGUGAAAGUCCGGGGCUCAACUCCAGAUCUGCGGUGGGUACGGGCAGACUAGAGUGAUGUAGGGGAGACUGGAAUUCCUGGUGUAGCGGUGAAAUGCGCAGAUAUCAGGAGGAACACCGGUGGCGAAGGCGGGUCUCUGGGCCGGUACUGACGCUGAGACGCGAAAGCGUGGGGAGCGAACAGG